rnacentral:rRNA from 1 species
GGGGAAUAUUGGACAAUGGGCGAAAGCCUGAUCCAGCAAUGCCGCGUGAGUGAUGAAGGCCUUAGGGUUGUAAAGCUCUUUUACCAGGGAUGAUAAUGACAGUACCUGGAGAAUAAGCUCCGGCUAACUCCGUG